rnacentral:rRNA from 1 species
AGUGAACGCUGGCGGUAGGCCUAACACAUGCAAGUCGAACGGCAGCACAGUAAGAGCUUGCUCUUACGGGUGGCGAGUGGCGGACGGGUGAGGAAUACAUCGGAAUCUACUUUUUCGUGGGGGAUAACGUAGGGAAACUUACGCUAAUACCGCAUACGACCUACGGGUGAAAGCAGGGGAUCUUCGGACCUUGCGCGAUUGAAUGAGCCGAUGUCGGAUUAGCUAGUUGGCGGGGUAAAGGCCCACCAAGGCGACGAUCCGUAGCUGGUCUGAGAGGAUGAUCGGCCACACGGGAGCUGGGACACGGUCCCGACGCCUACGGGAGGCAGCAGUGGGGAAUAUUGGACAAUGGGCGCAAGCCUGAUCCAGCCAUACCGCGUGGGUGAAGAAGGCCUUCGGGUUGUAAAGCCCUUUUGUUGGGAAAGAAAAGCAGCAGGUUAAUACCCCGCUGUUCUGACGGUACCCAAAGAAUAAGCACCGGCUAACUUCGUG